rnacentral:rRNA from 1 species
GAAGMAACGSGAAGAACCUUAACAGGUCUUGACAUCYUWUGACAACUCUAGAGAUAGAGYGUUCCCYUUUGGGGGACAGAGUGACAGGUGGUGCAUGGUUGUCGUCAGCUMGUGUCGUGAGAKGUUGGGUUAAGUCCCGCAACGAGCGCAACCCUUGAUCUUAGUUGCCAGCAUUAAGUUGGGCACUYUAAGGUGACUKCCGGUGACAAACCGGAGGAAGGUGGGGAWGACGUCAAAUCAUCAUKCCCCUUAUGACCUGGGCUACACACGUGSUACAAUGGAUGGUACAAAGGGCUGCAAGACCGCGAGGUCAAGCCAAUCCCAUAAAACCAUUCUCAGUUCGGAUUGUAGGYUGCAACUYGCCUACAUGAAGCUGGAAUCGCUAGUAAUCGCGGAUCAGCAUGCCGCGGUGAAUACGUUCCCGGGCCUUGUACACACCGCCCGUCACACCACGAGAGUUUGUAACACCCGAAGUCGGUGGGGUAACCUUUAKGAGCCAGCCGCCUAAGGUGAKMMG